rnacentral:tRNA from 1 species
GGGGCUGUAGCUCAGUGGUAGAGCAUCUCAUUUGCAAUGAAGUUUUGGCUUCGAUACAACUUUGAGAAGGUCUGGGGUUCAAUCCCCCACGGCUCCA